rnacentral:rRNA from 1 species
CCCUUAGAUGUCCUGGGCCGCACGCGCGCUACACUGAUGCAUUCAACGAGUGUUUCCUUGGCCGAGAGGCCUGAGCAAUCUUUUAAACCUGCAUCGUGAUAGGGAUAGAUUAUUGCAAUAAUUAAUCUUGAACGAGGAAUUCCUAGUAAACGCAAAUCAUCAAUUUGCAUUGAUUACGUCCCUGCCCUUUGUGCACACCGCCCGUCGCACCUACCGAUUGAAUGGUCCGGUGAAAUCUCGGGAUUGUGGCCAGUUCACUUUAUUGGGAGUUGGCUGCGAGAACUUGCUUAAACCUUAUCAUUUAGAGGAAGGUGAAGUCGUAACA